rnacentral:lncRNA from 1 species
AAAACAGAUAUAUAUAUUUUUUUCAAUGAUUAUUUCUCUCAUCAGGAACCAGGAAAAGGAAUUUGUGGAUACAACUUAUAAUCUUACCUGACAAUUACUCAUUGUUGACUGAGGCCUCUCUAUUUCUAUUUAAACUAGAUAUGCUGGGUAAACAAAUGAUUUAAGAGCCCAAGCUGACCUUCAGUUCCUCUGUAGUCAAUGGAGAGACUACACGUUCAGAUGGUACUUCAGAUCUGUCUGUUACCUGUAGGAAAGCACACACUGGGAGUCCUUGCUGGGCAUCUCAUCUAUAUGCCUAAAAUAGGAUUAUUUUAAUUUUGGCCUAAAUCCCUAUUUCUUACUGAGACAAAACUGCAACCUAGAUAGAUUUUUGUAGUCAAACAGAGAUUUGCCUCAGGAAGGACUGUCAUACCAAUAUAUGUUUGUUAGUUCAGCACCUGGUGGCAAGAAAAGACAACAAAAAUACUCACCUCCUUAACUCUACGAACAUGAGAUGUGUUAUAUAUAUGUAAUAAAGCAGGUUUGGGGCUUUAUUAUGCAAAUAUUUACUGGUAUAAAGGCUGACCUCACCUUUCUUUCAGCAUACAGUAAUGCCAGAGCUACAGCCAUCUGUGCAAUGGAUGGGGCAUGAAGGAGGAAGGGCUAUGUGGGGUUUUGCCUUGGUACAGGGAUAGCAAGCUUUAAGGGCAAGAGGUGAAGGAUUACUCAGGAGGGUGCUGGUACAGACACUUCCAUUUGGGAGUAUGAUUUGAUGAAGAAUGGAGUAAAGCAGAGGAAGAUGAGCAGUGAAACUGUCCUCCACUCAUCAGGAGAAGAGAGUUCAGUGGAUAUGAGCUGCCCACACUGGCUGGCGAUCUGCUGGGAAGGAACACUUCUCGGAGAGUUUCACUAUGAAAGCCGUCAGUUCUCCUGACUUGGUAAGAACAGUUUUUUCCCAUGUGAUACUUAUCCUAUUGAUUUUAAUAGAAACACACUUUUAUUGCACUUGGAGAUAUGCAAAAUGCAUCUAAAGUGCAGUGAAUUUGCUCAGUCUUGGCAUCUUCAUUCUCAAGAGCCUUUUCAAAAUGUAAAUUAGAGACAAAGACUACAGAAAGAGAAAUUUUAGAGCACAUGCUAAUUGCAGAAAUCUGAGAUGGUUUCUCUGAAUGGUAGGUUGUCAGUCAGGCUUGAAUUAAUGUGAGCUCUAAGGAUUUGUAUUGCUCGCUUAGAGUAGCUCAAGAGGAAACAUGAACCUUUGCACUCAGAGGGACUGCAGAGCUAACUCCCAACUCGAUCCUCUUGCUCCCAAAGCUCUUUUAGUUAUUGUGAUCUUGUUAUCAUAAUUCAGCAACUUUAAAAAUGAAUCCUAUGCAGAUCAGUUAGUCAGGAAGUGAAAA